rnacentral:lncRNA from 1 species
CUUCUUUUCCCUCUUCUUCUUCUUUCGUGGGAGGCUGUGGGAUAAAACCGAAAUUUUCAAUUUUCUUUAUUUUUUUUUCUUUUUGCAACUUAACAGUUUAGUCCUUGAAAUUUCUAUAUUUACAUAUAGGUCCUCCAAUUUACAUAUAAAUCCUUAUUAAAAAUUUUUAAAAGUGAGGGAUAUUAUAAUUAAUGACCCGAUUAAUUCUUCAAG